UGCAGUCGAGCGGAACGAUGGUAGCUUGCUACCAGGCGUCGAGCGGCGGACGGGUGAGUAAUACUUAGGAAUCUACCUAGUAGUGGGGGAUAGCACGGGGAAACUCGUAUUAAUACCGCAUACGACCUACGGGAGAAAGGGGGCAGUUUACUGCUCUCGCUAUUAGAUGAGCCUAAGUCGGAUUAGCUAGAUGGUGGGGUAAAGGCCUACCAUGGCGACGAUCUGUAGCUGGUCUGAGAGGAUGAUCAGCCACACCGGGACUGAGACACGGCCCGGACUCCUACGGGAGGCAGCAGUGGGGAAUAUUGGACAAUGGGGGGAACCCUGAUCCAGCCAUGCCGCGUGUGUGAAGAAGGCCUUUUGGUUGUAAAGCACUUUAAGCAGUGAAGAAGACUCUUCGGUUAAUACCCGGAGACGAUGACAUUAGCUGCAGAAUAAGCACCGGCUAACUCUGUGCCAGCAGCCGCGGUAA
rnacentral:rRNA from 1 species